rnacentral:lncRNA from 1 species
AAAGCUCCUUCCACCAAACCUUCUUGCCUCAUUUGCUUUCUUUGUUUUUGAGCCUGUAGAGCAUUUAACAAUUUUGCUAACGUAAUCUUUGACAGAUCUCUUAAGUUUUCCAGAGAGGUAAUUAUAGCUUUGAAUUUUUCAAGGAUUUUAACAAGAAUUUUUUAAACAAUUCUAGAAUUAGAAAAAUUAGUGUCAAGAAGUCUUACUUUAUUGGCGAUACAGAGAAGUUUGUCUACAUUAUAUUUGAUAGUUUCUGACUCU